CCUACGGGUGGCAGCAGUGGGGAAUCUUGCGCAAUGGGCGAAAGCCUGACGCAGCGACGCCGCGUGAGGGAUGAAGGUCUUCGGAUCGUAAACCUCUGUCAGCAGGGAAGAACGGUCACUGUGCUAAUCAGCAGUGAAUUGACGGUACCUGCAAAGGAAGUACCGGCUAACUCCGUGCCAGCAGCCGCGGUAAUACGGAGGGUGCGAGCGUUAAUCGGAAUUACUGGGCGUAAAGCGCUCGUAGGCGGUAUGUCAAGUCAAGGGUGAAAUCCCCGCGCUCAACGUGGGAACUGCCUUUGAAACUGGCAGACUGGAGUGUGUGAGAGGAUAGUGGAAUUCCAGGUGUAGGAGUGAAAUCCGUAGAUAUCUGGAGGAACAUCAGUGGCGAAGGCGACUAUCUGGCACAUAACUGACGCUGAGGAGCGAAAGCGUGGGUAGCAAACAGGAUUAGAUACCCGGGUAGUC
rnacentral:rRNA from 1 species